UUCAACCUACGUUUGUACCAAAAAAACUUCAACCUACGCCACUCCACCAAUGCCACGGUGAAUCUCAGUUCAAGUCGCUAAGUUUGCUUGUGAGUUGUGAGGUUCGGAAUCGGCGUAGUGAUUAAUCUUCACUAUCCAGUUGUGCACAAUGUCAGUUUUAAGGUAUAGGUGGUUUCAUCGUAAUCCCACUUUUCUUCUAGCAAUGCCCUUUUCAUCCCUUCACUCUCACUCUCACUCUUUGCCUAAUGAUGCUGUGUGUUUAUUCAAUCGCUUGUUACAAAUGCGUCAUACCCCUUCCAUCAUUGAAUUUAACAAGAUUCUUACUCCUCUCGUGAAGACGAAGCAUUACUCCAUCGCCAUAUCCCUUUCUCACCAAAUGGAAUUUAGGGGAAUCAUGCCUGACAUCGUUACUCUCAACAUCUUAAUCAACUGUUACUGCCACCUAGGUCAAAUGUCUGUUGCCUUUUCUGUUUUGGCCAAGAUUCUCAAGAGGGGUUAUAAGCCAAAUACAAUCACCUUCACUACCCUCAUUAAAGGUCUCUGUCUUAAUGACCAGGUUAAGAGAGCACUGCAAUUUCAUGACGAGCUGCUAGCACAAGGAAUUCAAUUGAACCAAGUUAGCUAUGGGAUCUUAAUCAAUGGGCUGUGUAAAGUGGGACAAACAAGAGCUGCCCUGCGAUUGCUGAGACAGAUUGAAGGGAAAUUAGUUCAGCCUAAUGUGGUCAUGUACAACACAAUCAUUGAUAGCCUCUGCAAAGAUAAACUUGUAAGUGAAGCUUGCGAUUUAUAUUCGGAAAUGGUACUCAAGAGAAUUUCUCCUACUGUUGUCACUUUCAAUGCUCUAAUUUAUGGCUUUUGCAUUGUGGGUCAAUUGAAAGAAGCAGUUGGUUUGCUAAAUGAAAUGGUGUUGAAAAACAUCAACCCAAUUGUUAAUACUUUUACUAUUCUGGUUGAUGGGUUAUGUAAGGAAGGAAAGGUGAAAGAAGCUAAAAAUGUGUUAGCUGUGAUGAUGAAAGAAGGUGUAAAGCCUGAUAUUUUCACUUACAAUUCUAUCAUGGAUGGGUAUUGCCUAGUUAAAAAAGUGAACCAGGCUAAAGAUGAAUUCAACUCUAUGACUCAGAGGGGAGUCGCUCCUGAUGUUUGCAGCUACAAUAUCAUGAUUAAUGGAUGCUGUAAGAUUAGAAUGGUGCAUGACGCUCUGGAUCUCUUUGAAGAAAUGCAUUCCAAAAAUCUGAUUCCUGAUACAGUAACUUACAGCUGCCUUAUUGAUGGUCUGUGCAAAGUAGGGAGAAUAUCUUGUGCUUGGGAGCUUGUUGGUAAAAUGCACGACAGAGGUCAACAAGCCGAUGUAAUCACUUACAAUUCUUUAUUAGAUGCUCUAUGCAAGAAUCAUCAUGUUGACAAGGCAAUUGCAUUACUUGAGAGAGUUAAAGACAAGGGCAUUCAACCAGAUAUGUACACAUACAAUAUAAUUAUUGAUGGACUAUGCAAAAGUGGAAGACUAAAGGAUGCACAAGAGGUUUUUCAGGAUCUUUUGAUUAAAGGCUAUCGGCUAAAUGUUGUGACAUAUAAUAUAAUGAUCAAUGGGCUUUGUAUAGAGGGUUUGUCCGAUGAAGCACUGGCCUUGCUAUCAAAAAUGGAAGACAAUGGCUGUGUUUCUGAUGCUAUAACUUAUGAAACAAUUAUUCGGGUUCUCUUUAGAAAAAAUGAGAAUGAUAAAGCACAGAAACUUCUUCAUGAGAUGAUUGCUAGAGGUCUGCUUAAGAGUGAAGUCAAGUGAGGUGCUUUCCAGUUAGACUUUGUUACUUUGAAUAUUCAUGAUGGACAUCCAGUCUUUUUCAAUUAUAUUUUGAAUUUGAAUUUUUAUUUUUUAUAAUUUGUUAGAUGUAUGAUUCGUUGAUUAGUUGUUGUGGUUAUUUCUGUUUAGUCUUCAGUUAUACUUUCUGUUAUGCUUAAUUGGCAUAUCAUAUGCUGUUAAGAUAGUAGGCUUUUAGCUUUCUGUUAUUCAGUUAUGCUUUGCUCAAUAGUUAGUUAUUCUAGUAGCUUCCUGCUGAAGCUAAUCAAUCUAUAAAUGUUACCAAUGAUAGUAGGCUUUUGGCCUUUGUUGCUGUUGCAAACCCACACUCUAGGCCCAGAUUUGGCAAAGUCUAUGAGAGGAGGCCCAAGCAAGGGACAGCUGUACCUGAAGAUCCACCUUCUAGAAGCUUGGAUCCCAAGAUAACCGACUAAUGAGGUGGCAACACACACAUGGGUGAGGGGGGGACCAUAGGGUAUCAACCUAGGGAAUAUAUGUUGGUUUGGAGAGAGAGGAGGUAGGCAGAAAUUAGUCUGGACUGGGAGAGAUUGAGCACUCUCGAAUUGCUCAAGUUUAUCUUGUUAUUUUCUUCCUUGUAUUUCCCUAAACACUGCUUCUGGGUUCAUACCAGAGGAUUCAGUGCCUUAAUAGCAUUCAAUCUUCUUCUUUCCUAUUACAUUUUUCUGGUACCUAACAGUUGCCAAUACAGCUGAUGCUCCUUCAACUAAACAGAGCUGAUAAGCUGACUCAGGGGCUAGUAAUCAUGUUACCAAUGAUCCUCAGCAGCUCAUGGAGUCGAUUACUAUGGCUGGUCAGGAGCAAGUUUAUGUGGGCAGUGGACAAGAAUGCACCUCCUCAGGAAAAUCUAUUACAGAAUAAUGGAUCUCAAUCUGGACCGUCAUCUUCUCAAUAUCAACACCAGUAUCUUGAUUUUUCUGGUUUUUGUGGUAAUUCCUUUCGUGGACGUUUUGGCCGAGAAUGUCAAGUGUGCUAUAAGAAUGGACAUGCUUUUUCACUGUUAUAAUAGCUUUAAUCAUAAUUUUAUUUCACAGCAGCCAUCUUACUAUCACUCUGCUCAACAAUCUGUUCCUCAGAGUAAUUAUGGUCUGCCUUCUUAGUCUCUGGAACCUCACUAUGUCUUAGUAGUACCUUCACAACAGCAGAUACAACUUGUCCAACAUCAGUGCUUUCAUGAGUGUAUGGCAGCAACCUUCUGGAUUUAUUUUUAUGCCAGCAGGUCCUCAGAAUUUUUCACGACAGCAUUUUCAGCUUCCAUAGUCUUCUCCUGCUCCUAUGGCCUUUAUUUCCAAUAUAGCUGCUGCUCCUUCAACUACACAGAGCUGGUAAGCUGACUCAGGGGCUAGUCAUCAUGUUACCAAUGAUACUCACACCUCAUGGAGUCUAUUACUAUGGCUGGUCAGGAGCAAGUUUAUGUGGGCAGUGUACAAGGUCUGCCAAUUCUUUAUUGAGGCUUUACUUCAUUUUCUUCUUCUCUUCUUUCUUAUACUAAAUUGUCCCUCAAUGAUUUUCUUCAUGUCCCUACUAUUACUAAAAAUCUUGCUAGAGAUAAUUUCAUCUAUAUUGAGUUUUAUCCAUCUAAAUGUUUUUUGAAAUCUCAGGUCAACAACCAAAUUUUGUUUGAAGGAGCAGCCAACUCAAUGGGGCUUUAUGAGUUUCCUAGUUUACUUUGUAACUCCAUCUUCUUACCAAAUUCUAAUGUUUCUAAUUCAUUAAACUUUGCAUCUCCUUUGUGGAAGAACUGUGACUUGUUCAGAAGCAUUUUGACUCUGUCUUUGCUGGUGAAGCAUGUUGUGUGUAACCUCUAGUUCUCAUUUUCCUUAAAACUUCUGUUCAUAAUGACAUUGACUAUAUUUUCUAGUAAAGUGUGUUUCUUGUAUUUGUUCUCAUUUUCAUUGGACUUCUGUUCUGAAGCACAUGGACUCUAUCUUAACUAGUAAAGAACAUUUCAUGUUACUAACCUCUUUCUCAUUUUCAUUAGACCUGUGCUGCAUUUGGGUAAACACUCUGACCCUAAAUCAGUUGAAGCUGAAGCUUUUAAUAAACUGGGUCAGAACACCAAUGGUAGUUCUAUGAUUCUAUCAGUCUUUCCCACAGUCCUGAUGAAGGAAGUUCCAAAAUGGAUAAAGGCAUGGGACAGAAGAAAUAGACAUAGCAUAGAACGUUGUCUCUUACAAGGGAAAUAGACUGUUAAACAAGGCGGUUGCUGUUGCAGGGCUUCUAAUUUAGUUUUCAUGAGGUUAGCACUAGUAUGUUAUCCUUUUCAUAUCAUGAUCCGAUGUAAACCUUAGAUACUAUCACGGCAUAUAACCAUCUCUAUAAGAUUCAAAGUUGAUGCAAAGAACUAGUAUAUUUUAAGGGCUCACUUAAAUACAAAAGAAAAUUUAGGAGCUAAAUUACAAGCAACAAAUAUUAAUAUCAGGACCAAGUUGUUUACUUUA